rnacentral:lncRNA from 1 species
GGGUUCAAGGGUAACAAAACAUUAAGCCAAGAGCUCUACAACGAUGAUGACCAUCGCGUCAUCCUUGCACUCUCCACCACCGGCGAAGCCACCACGAGUCCCGAUAUAGAGGUAUCCACCAACGUAACCGGGGAAAAUGGUUGGAAGAGCUGUGAAAACGGAUCGGGAGGUGUACUCGACGGCACCGUCACUCCCCCAAAAACGCUAACAACAACA